UUGUUUAACCCCUCUACACUUGGAGGAUCUGCACCCGUAACCGCGCAGUUCUGAUUUCUUUUACCUCGACAUCAGUGCUGUGAAUGUAUUCGUCCAAAUAAAUAAAUAAUAAUAAACAACAACAAAAAUCGAUGCGGAAACCAUCAGCAAGCCGAUCAGGCCGAUCGAGGAACCACGCCAUGGACUUUAUGUCAAGAUCAUGGAUCAAUAUGUCAAAGUGGAUGUGAUUAGGAGACUGGAAACUCUGACGGCCCUACAGGGGCCUGCAAAUUAACAUCGCAUUGAGAAUUUACAUUGUUUUUUUUUCUCCUUUGUAUCAACUUGACACUUGGUUAUUACAAUGACUACUAAUUAA